GCCCCCGUAGCUCAGUGGAUAGAGCGUCGGCCUCCGAAGCCGGAAGCGGCAGUUCAAGUCUGCCCGAGGGCA
rnacentral:tRNA from 1 species